AGAUACAUUUAACCAUUGAAGUUCCUACUCAUUGAGUGAACCCUGUCUCCCUCCUCUCUGGUUUCCAGAAAUAAGGAUUUUUUUCUAAACUCCACUUACUUCUUGCCUCAUGGCUAAUGCCCAUGGAGGUGGGGUGAGUGACCUGCUGGUGACCAAGGGAAAUGAAUCUGCACAGGAAGCCCAGGCCCUCCCUCCCUCCCUUUUCAUUAGAAGCCAGCUUCCCCUGGAAAACAGCCACAUUCUGCUCUACUUUGUCAUGUCUAUGGGCCCCUCCCUCAGUGGGAAGGCUUAAGUUUUGUAAGAUUGACCAUAAGUGUGGUGAUAUUUCCUAAUUCCAGGGAAUGGAGCUAGUCAUGCCACACAUCUUUGCUGUUCUCACGAACUGAGCCCUUCUGCUCCAUGCCAUGCUCCUGGCUAAUUGAAGUUGUGAAAGGCAUGAGGAUUCUGGUCAUGGACUCAGCUCUCCCAUAGGGGUCUGACACCAAAGUAAUGGUCACAACAAUGAAAGGAAGAAUCCAUCUGGCCAGGCUCAGGUGGUUCAAGGCCUUCAGAAUCUGCCUUGAGACUUCCAGUGACAGUCUUUAGACUGAAAACCGUCUUGGCCCCAUCCAUCCCUGUAAGCAAUUUAACAACAGCUUGCAAAGCACCGAGCUUUAACAGAAAGAAGAGAUGAGCACGGCACAAGAACUUGGACUCCAGAAGAGCUGCCUAACAGAUUCUUUUUCUGUGGUAUUUCAUGAGAACAAACGAAGUAAGGAUUUUCCUUUUGUCCGUCUGGCCUUUGGCAUUGUUUACUUUCUUUUUUAUUCUUCUGAACUGUACUUUGAGCCCUGGCAGCAUUUCUGUCCUAAAAUCUUAUUGUCAGAGGUUUUUCAGCUGUUUCAAAUCAUAUCUGAUAGAGUGAGUGUGCUGCCUGGACUCAUCACUUUACUUCAGAAGAAAUACAGCUCCCCCUUAAAUGACAAUGGUGAUUGUCCACAGCUUUAUGUUUUCUACACUGAAGUGGCAGGCUUCAUUUAAAAAUAGUGUUUUCCCUCAUCAAAAAAGAACUAGGGUAGAACCCUCAACUCUGCUGAUGUCCAGGUAGUGACCUAACACCCAUGUUUUGGACAAUCACUGCCUUAAAUCAGGUUUUCAUUGCACGUAGGAUAAUUCUUUGUCAAUGGUGGUUUUGUCAACUGUGAUGUGAGGUAAUGAGGUUUUCUACUUUUGCUUGAAAUUUUGAAAAUAUGCAAGCUUUUAACAUUUGCAAAGUUGGAUUCUGUUUUCUUUACAAAGCAACCUGAUUUGCCGAUGUUCUCUCCAUCUGUCAGGGUAUGCGUGAUGUGGUGCAGACUUAAUGUGCUGCCUUUCUGGAACAUGGACAGAGUAGCAGCACAGAAAAAUGAACAUUUCAGCUCUGUGAUGAUUUGUGAAAAAAUUUCAGAUCAUUGAGCAGGCAUUUUGCUGACACCUGUGAAAAGUAACCACAUCAGAGAGCGUGGCGUGAUGGUCGGAGGCCACAUGCUGGAGUUGGACUGCUUGAGUCAAAUCCCAGCUGCUCAGCUGUAGUGAACUGAAUGGUGGUCCCCAAAAGAUACGUGUAUCUCCUAAUCCCUGGUACCUGUGAAUGUGACCAAAGACCCUUAAAGGGUCUUUGCAGAUGUAAUUACAUUGAGGCUCUCAGAGAUGAGAACAUCCUGGAUUAUCAGGGUGGGUCCUAUAUCCAAUGACAAGUGUCUCCUUAUAGGAGACAGAAGAAGAUGCAGACCCAGAAGAGAUUAAGUAAAGAUGGAAGCAGAGACUGGAGUGAGGCUGCCACAGGCCAAAGAAUACCUGGUGCCAGCAGAAUCUGGAAGAGGCAAGGAAGGACACUUCCCUGAGGCUUUCGGAUGGAGCACAGCCCUGCUGAUGCCUUGGUGUUGGACAUCUGGGCUAUGGAACUAUGAGAACCUUCUGUUGUUUUAAGCCACCCAGUUUGUGGUACUCUGUUAUGGCUGCCACAGGAAACUAAUACACCCUUUACCACCUGAGUGACCUUGGCCAACUUACUUAACCUCCACGAAUCAGUCCCCUCAAAGGAACACCCUCCCCCCAGGCUCACUGUGAUGAUAAAAUGCUUUGGCAUAGGUGACUGGUUUAGACCAGGGCCUGCUACCUAGCACGUGCUAUGCCAGUGUUUCUAUCAUGGCAAGAGCAGAUGCAGCGGAGCUUAAGUUUCAACUGUAUCCAUGCUGGUUAGAAAAGUCACAGUCUGGGACACAGGACACUUCAGGAAGAAUCUCCCUCACUGGAUCCCAGUGUUCCAGCAAUGUUUUCCAAGCAGCUGAAGAACAGGAAGCAGGAACAGGGUUUCCUACAAGAGCCAUUAUUCAGAUGCCUCUACAUCUGACUGGUGUUGGAGAAGUGUGACUUCUGGAGGUUUAUGUGCUGGGACUUUAACAGCAUACAUACUAAAAACAACAUUUAUUUUCCUCAGAUGCUGGGCUCUCUAUGAGCCUUGACCUCCCUGAGAAGAUUAGAGGCAGGUGCCUAAUCUGAUCGGUCAACUCAGUGAAACAACUGCAUUGAUUAAAGCCAUAAGAUGUUAGGAUUCUCUGCUCUUGGUGGCCUAAAAGGUCCCAUUCCUUUCCCAAAGUGCUUAGCUUGAUCUCAUCCCAGGGAACAAUUUUGGGUGGACGAGAACCUGGCCACAGAGCAUGAGAUCAUGUAUGACUAAGUCUACUUGCCUUCAUCGAAAGAUACAUGGAGUUUUGGGCAAUUUCUUUGAACCCCUCUAGAGGCUUCUAAAGAUUGUUUAGCACCAUCUGGUUUUUAAUCCUGGAUGCCAAACUUGUUGAUUUUUGCCCUGGACCAUCUGUUUUUCAACUUCCCAUGGAACCUUUCUUUGGGCCAAGUAGGGAAAGAAAUAACUAUAUUUUUAAUUAUUUUUGUUUUGCCUUCUCAUCCCAGUCACAGCAUUAGAAAGGGAAAAUCAACUGUCUGACAAAACUCUGAAAGAUUGGACAUGAAGUGCUGGCCUUGCUAUCUGCAGGGCAUCUCCCUAUAUAGAUUGGAUACCUUUUCCUUCACUCCCUGAUAAAAAGUGAGACAGACUGAGCAUAGUCUUGUGACCAUUUAAUGCCUGUGCCCAGAAUACGGGUCUGUACCACUUACAGCAGUCACAGUGGGGAGGAGCAGGGACCCUGGGGUCUGCCUGCCUGUGUCUGAAUUUCAGCUGAGCCCAUUCCUAGACCAGUGCCUGGGAAAGCUAUCUGACCUCUGAGAUCCAGUCUACUAGCCUCACAAGUGAGAUUGUGACAACACUUACCUCAAUGAGGCAUUGGACAUCAUCUCAUUUAAUCCUCAACAUGCCUCAGUGUCUAGCAUUUAACAAGCUCCCAUAAACAUUAGUUAUUACUAUUCCUUAAUAUGAAUAGCAUUUAAAAUAUAAAGUGGGAGAGAGCAAUGCUGCAUGCCCUACCACUGGCCAGAGAGCUUGCAGCAGGAAGAAUGCUUAGGUGGAACACACAGGCCUUUUCUGUGUUCAUCCCAUUCCAAAGGAUUUGGUAUUGCCAUAUAUGGAACAUUAAGAUUAGAAAUGGCCAUUUCCAAACUGGUGAAUCCCUUGGUGCCUUUUUCUCCACUGUGAUUCAUCUGGGGUACCCUCAGUUUUCAGUGGUCAUGGUCAUUCCAAACCAACCAUGAGCUGGGGGAACAUUGUACUGUGGUAAACCCAGGGUCACCUGACCAGAGCUCCAAUUUUAUAAACCCAAGUUGUAGGUGGGAUGAUGGAUGCAGGCUUCUCUGGCAAAUGCUUCCUGAGCGUUGUGGACACUGUCACUUCUAGGGGGCUGCAGUUGCCUCAUUGUAUAAUUCUGGUCAUCAGAAAGGAGGCAGUCAUAGAUGAGCUGCCCUUCUGGACAAAAUGACAUCUCUCUUAUUGAAAAAGGUUAAGAGGCUACUUUCUUUCCCCCCCGCCCCACAACCACUAUUUAUUGCACGAGAUUUCAGAAUGAUGAUGAUAAAAAAGCAAGUUUAUAGACACAUCAUGAGGUUGUAUGAAUAAAAUAAAGUAAUAUCUGGGACAGAUAUAUCAAAGAA